rnacentral:tRNA from 1 species
GGAGUUGUGGCUCAGUGGUAGAAUGCUUGCCUAGCACACGUGCAAGGCGCUAGGUUCGAUCCUCAGCACCA